rnacentral:lncRNA from 1 species
UCUCUUUUAGUGAAUGAUUGUAAUAAAUUAAGUUUCAAAAGGGAGAUAAGAAACUUUGAUGAAUAUGACGAUUUUAGAAGUUUUGAUUCAAUCAAUCAAAAUUUUGAGUGUGAAGAAGCAGAAAAAUAUAUGCAAUGUUAGUUCAAAAAUCUUCUUCGAUUAUAAGUAAUGGAAGACCUAAACCGUCUAAAGCAAGUUUGGGAUUAAAGUGGUCCAUCAUGACCCCCUUCUCACCUAGAAGUCUUUUAGUUGUGCAUUAUACAAAUCAAUAAAAUGAAAGCAAUAUUACAAACGACAAACUUGCUCUAAAUUUAGGAAAGUGAAAUCUUACUUUAGGGAACUUAUACAUUUAGAAACUUCUAAUUUUGAAAAUUUCUAGAUUAGGUAAGCCCUUAAUUUCCUGAAUUAUG